GACGAACGCUGGCGGCGUGCCUAAUACAUGCAAGUAGAACGCUGAAGAGAGGAGCUUGCUCUUCUUGGAUGAGUUGCGAACGGGUGAGUAACGCGUAGGUAACCUGCCUUGUAGCGGGGGAUAACUAUUGGAAACGAUAGCUAAUACCGCAUAACAAUGGAUGACACAUGUCCUUUAUUUGAAAGGGGCAAUUGCUCCACUACAAGAUGGACCUGCGUUGUAUUAGCUAGUAGGUGAGGUAAUGGCUCACCUAGGCGACGAUACAUAGCCGACCUGAGAGGGUGAUCGGCCACACUGGGACUGAGACACGGCCCAGACUCCUACGGGAGGCAGCAGUAGGGAAUCUUCGGCAAUGGGGGCAACCCUGACCGAGCAACGCCGCGUGAGUGAAGAAGGUUUUCGGAUCGUAAAGCUCUGUUGUAAGUCAAGAACGGGUGUGAGAGUGGAAAGUUCACACUGUGACGGUAGCUUACCAGAAAGGGACGGCUAACUACGUG
rnacentral:rRNA from 1 species